rnacentral:misc_RNA from 1 species
GAGAGAGAAUACUGAACAGCUACACAUCAUUUGAAGCAUCUAUGUUAUUAACAGGCUUUCACAGUGUAAAAUAUGCAAUAUAGAGGUAUUUCAAUCAUAUAUAUACCAAGAAAACACUUCAAGUAACCACAAAGCAUUUAUGUAAUAGUCAUUUUCUUUUUUUUAAUAUAGGAACUUAUUAAAUGAAAAACUAUCAGUUUCAGCAUCUUAAUCAGAUGAAUGCAAACUUAAUGUGGCAACGGGAAAUUUAAUCCUUACUUCUCAAGCUUUAUAUAAA